rnacentral:rRNA from 1 species
GACGAACGCUGGCGGCGUGCUUAACACAUGCAAGUCGAACGGAAAGGCCCUGCUUUUGUGGGGUGCUCGAGUGGCGAACGGGUGAGUAACACGUGAGUAACCUGCCCUUGACUUUGGGAUAACUUCAGGAAACUGGGGCUAAUACCGGAUAGGAGCUCCUGCUGCAUGGUGGGGGUUGGAAAGUUUCGGCGGUUGGGGAUGGACUCGCGGCUUAUCGGCUUGUUGGUGGGGUAGUGGCUUACCAAGGCUUUGACGGGUAGCCGGCCUGAGAGGGUGACCGGCCACAUUGGGACUGAGAUACGGCCCAGACUCCUACGGGAGGCAGCAGUGGGGAAUAUUGCACAAUGGGCGGAAGCCUGAUGCAGCAACGCCGCGUGCGGGAUGACGGCCUUCGGGUUGUAAACCGCUUUCGCCUGUGACGAAGCGUGAGUGACGGUAAUGGGUAAAGAAGCACCGGCUAACUACGUGCCAGCAGCCGCGGUGAUACGUAGGGUGCGAGCGUUGUCCGGAUUUAUUGGGCGUAAAGGGCUCGUAGGUGGUUGAUCGCGUCGGAAGUGUAAUCUUGGGGCUUAACCCUGAGCGUGCUUUCGAUACGGGUUGACUUGAGGAAGGUAGGGGAGAAUGGAAUUCCUGGUGGAGCGGUGGAAUGCGCAGAUAUCAGGAGGAACACCAGUGGCGAAGGCGGUUCUCUGGGCCUUUCCUGACGCUGAGGAGCGAAAGCGUGGGGAGCGAACAGGCUUAGAUACCCUGGUAGUCCACGCUGUAAACGGUGGGUACUAGGUGUGGGGUCCAUUCCACGGGUUCCGUGCCGUAGCUAACGCUUUAAGUACCCCGCCUGGGGAGUACGGCCGCAAGGCUAAAACUCAAAGGAAUUGACGGGGCCCCGCACAAGCGGCGGAGCAUGCGGAUUAAUUCGAUGCAACGCGUAGAACCUUACCUGGGUUUGACUUGGAUCGGGAGUGCUCAGAGAUGGGUGUGCCUCUUUUGGGGUCGGUUCACAGGUGGUGCAUGGCUGUCGUCAGCUCGUGUCGUGAGAUGUUGGGUUAAGUCCCGCAACGAGCGCAACCCUUGUUCACUGUUGCCAGCACGUUAUGGUGGGGACUCAGUGGAGACCGCCGGGGUCAACUCGGAGGAAGGUGGGGAUGACGUCAAGUCAUCAUGCCCCUUAUGUCCAGGGCUUCACGCAUGCUACAAUGGCUGGUACAGAGAGUGGCGAGCCUGUGAGGGUGAGCGAAUCUCGGAAAGUCGGUCUCAGUUCGGAUUGGGGUCUGCAACUCGACCUCAUGAAGUCGGAGUCGCUAGUAAUCGCAGAUCAGCAACGCUGCGGUGAAUACGUUCCCGGGGCU